GUGUUCUAGCGGCCACCUGUGGAGAGAGAGAGAACGAGAGUGAAUCAUUGAAGAGCAAACUGUGAACGUGAUACCUACCCAGAAAGCUGUAAACAGCAGAGCCGGUGAGAAAUACUCGAAGUCUCAGUAACAGUGUCUUUGUGUUCUAGCGGCCACCUGUGGAGAGAGAGAGAACGAGAGUGAAUCAUUGAAGAGCAAACUGUGAACGUGAUACCUACCCAGAAAGCUGUAAACAGCAGAGCCGGUGAGAAAUACUCGAAGUCUCAGUAACAGUGUCUUUGUGUUCUAGCGGCCACCUGUGGAGAGAGAGAGAACGAGAGUGAAUCAUUGAAGAGCAAACUGUGAACGUGAUACCUACCCAGAACGCUGUAAACAGCAGAGCCGGUGAGAAAUACUCGAAGUUUCAGUAACAGUGUCUUUGGGUCCUAGCGGCCACCUGUGGAGAGAGAACAGGACGAGAGUGAAUCAUUGAAGAGCAAACUGUGAACGUGAUACCUACCCAGAGAGCUGUAAGCAGCAGAACCGUGACUAUCUGUGGGGCACAAGGCGAACGUGGGCGGACGUACGACAGGGAACGUAAGGGCACGUGGGGCGAGGACCCCCUGCCGACCCGAGGAAAGAUACACCGACAGUGGAGAUCCUCCUUACCAGUCACACCAAAAUUAUUCUGCCUCCAGGACGGAAGAAGGAGGGCGCCACGGUUAGCAGGGUCCAGGCCGGAGCCUGACGUUUCCCUUUCUCCCCCGGCUUAUGGUGGUUGGCACCCCUGUUGCCCUUGGCCUGUCUGCCCGUGGCUGCAGUCUCCCUGGAGGGAGACGAAGAGACCUAUUAGUUUUAAAUUCCCCUUUCCCCCAAAUUCCCAGUUCUUUUAGAUAUUUAAACUAAAUAAAGCUUGUUUUAAAUUUUA